UAGGGAAUCUUCCACAAUGGACGCAAGUCUGAUGGAGCAACGCCGCGUGAGUGAAGAAGGUUUUCGGAUCGUAAAGCUCUGUUGUUGGUGAAGAAGGAUAGAGGCAGUAACUGGCCUUUAUUUGACGGUAAUCAACCAGAAAGUCACGGCUAACUACGUGCCAGCAGCCGCGGUAAUACGUAGGUGGCAAGCGUUGUCCGGAUUUAUUGGGCGUAAAGCGAGCGCAGGCGGAAGAAUAAGUCUGAUGUGAAAGCCCUCGGCUUAACCGAGGAAUUGCAUCGGAAACUGUUUUCUUGAGUGCAGAAGAGGAGAGUGGAACUCCAUGUGUAGCGGUGGAAUGCGUAGAUAUAUGGAAGAACACCAGUGGCGAAGGCGGCUCUCUGGUCUGCAACUGACGCUGAGGCUCGAAAGCAUGGGUAGCGAACAGAAUUAGAUACCCUGGUAGUCCAUGCCGUAAACGAUGAGUGCUAAGUGUUGGGGAGGUUUUCCGCCUCUCAGUGCUGCAGCUAACGCAUUAAGCACUCCGCCUGGGGGAGUACGACCGCAAGGUUGAAACUCAAAGUGAA
rnacentral:rRNA from 1 species